UCUAGUGACCGAUAGUGAACCAGUACCGUGAGGGAAAGGUGAAAAGCACCCCGGAAGGGGAGUGAAAUAGAACCUGAAACCGUGUGCUUACAAGUAGUCAGAGCCCGUUAAUGGGUGAUGGCGUGCCUUUUGUAGAAUGAACCGGCGAGUUACGAUUUGAUGCAAGGUUAAGCAGUAAAUGUGGAGCCGUAGCGAAAGCGAGUCUGAAUAGGGCGUUUAGUAUUUGGUCGUAGACCCGAAACCAGGUGAUCUACCCUUGGUCAGGUUGAAGUUCAGGUAACACUGAAUGGAGGACCGAACCGACUUACGUUGAAAAGUGAGCGGAUGAACUGAGGGUAGCGGAGAAAUUCCAAUCGAACCUGGAGAUAGCUGGUUCUCUCCGAAAUAGCUUUAGGGCUAGCCUCAAGUGAUGAUUAUUGGAGGUAGAGCACUGUUUGGACGAGGGGCCCCUCUCGGGUUACCGAAUUCAGACAAACUCCGAAUGCCAAUUAAUUUAACUUGGGAGUCAGAACAUGGGUGAUAAGGUCCGUGUUCGAAAGGGAAACAGCCCAGACCACCAGCUAAGGUCCCAAAAUAUAUGUUAAGUGGAAAAGGAUGUGGCGUUGCCCAGACAACUAGGAUGUUGGCUUAGAAGCAGCCAUCAUUUAAAGAGUGCGUAAUAGCUCACUAGUCGAGUGACACUGCGCCGAAAAUGUACCGGGGCUAAACAUAUUACCGAAGCUGUGGAUUGUCCUUUGGACAAUGGUAGGAGAGCGUUCUAAGGGCGUUGAAGCAUGAUCGUAAGGACAUGUGGAGCGCUUAGAAGUGAGAAUGCCGGUGUGAGUAGCGAAAGACGGGUGAGAAUCCCGUCCACCGAUUGACUAAGGUUUCCAGAGGAAGGCUCGUCCGCUCUGGGUUAGUCGGGUCCUAAGCUGAGGCCGACAGGCGUAGGCGAUGGAUAACAGGUUGAUAUUCCUGUACCACCUAUAAUCGUUUUAAUCGAUGGGGGGACGCAGUAGGAUAGGCGAAGCGUGCGAUUGGAUUGCACGUCUAAGCAGUAAGGCUGAGUAUUAGGCAAAUCCGGUACUCGUUAAGGCUGAGCUGUGAUGGGGAGAAGACAUUGUGUCUUCGAGUCGUUGAUUUCACACUGCCGAGAAAAGCCUCUAGAUAGAAAAUAGGUGCCCGUACCGCAAACCGACACAGGUAGUCAAGAUGAGAAUUCUAAGGUGAGCGAGCGAACUCUCGUUAAGGAACUCGGCAAAAUGACCCCGUAACUUCGGGAGAAGGGGUGCUCUUUAGGGUUAACGCCCAGAAGAGCCGCAGUGAAUAGGCCCAAGCGACUGUUUAUCAAAAACACAGGUCUCUGCUAAACCGUAAGGUGAUGUAUAGGGGCUGACGCCUGCCCGGUGCUGGAAGGUUAAGAGGAGUGGUUAGCUUCUGCGAAGCUACGAAUCGAAGCCCCAGUAAACGGCGGCCGUAACUAUAACGGUCCUAAGGUAGCGAAAUUCCUUGUCGGGUAAGUUCCGACCCGCACGAAAGGCGUAACGAUUUGGGCACUGUCUCAACGAGAGACUCGGUGAAAUCAUAGUACCUGUGAAGAUGCAGGUUACCCGCGACAGGACGGAAAGACCCCGUGGAGCUUUACUGUAGCCUGAUAUUGAAAUUCGGCACAGCUUGUACAGGAUAGGUAGGAGCCUUUGAAACGUGAGCGCUAGCUUACGUGGAGGCGCUGGUGGGAUACUACCCUAGCUGUGUUGGCUUUCUAACCCGCACCACUUAUCGUGGUGGGAGACAGUGUCAGGCGGGCAGUUUGACUGGGGCGGUCGCCUCCUAAAAGGUAACGGAGGCGCUCAAAGGUUCCCUCAGAAUGGUUGGAAAUCAUUCAUAGAGUGUAAAGGCAUAAGGGAGCUUGACUGCGAGACCUACAAGUCGAGCAGGGUCGAAAGACGGACUUAGUGAUCCGGUGGUUCCGCAUGGAAGGGCCAUCGCUCAACGGAUAAAAGCUACCCCGGGGAUAACAGGCUUAUCUCCCCCAAGAGUUCACAUCGACGGGGAGGUUUGGCACCUCGAUGUCGGCUCAUCGCAUCCUGGGGCUGUAGUCGGUCCCAAGGGUUGGGCUGUUCGCCCAUUAAAGCGGUACGCGAGCUGGGUUCAGAACGUCGUGAGACAGUUCGGUCCCUAUCCGUCGUGGGCGUAGGAAAUUUGAGAGGAGCUGUCCUUAGUACGAGAGGACCGGGAUGGACAUACCUCUGGUGUACCAGUUGUCGUGCCAACGGCAUAGCUGGGUAGCUAUGUGUGGACGGGAUAAGUGCUGAAAGCAUCUAAGCAUGAAGCCCCCCUCAAGAUGAGAUUUCCCAACUUCGGUUAUAAGAUCCCUCAAAGAUGAUGAGGUUAAUAGGUUCGAGGUGGAAGCAUGGUGACAUGUGGAGCUGACGAAUACUAAUCGAUCGAAGACUUAAUCAA
rnacentral:rRNA from 1 species